rnacentral:piRNA from 1 species
UCCGAAGGUCGUUUGCAGAGAGAGCU